AUGAAUUUGAAGAUAUCUCUUCCUCCGAACCUCACAUCGUCAACCUAUUAUCUCCGAUACAGUCCCCUUCGCUCUUCAUCUCUCAGUUCCGAAAUCCAUCACCAUCACACACUCCCUUCAGUUCUUAACUUCACGACGACCAUUUGCAGCUCAACCCAGCCCCAUACUCCUCCGUCUGGUCACUGUCAACACAUCUUCAUCAUCGAACAAUCCGCUGCUCCAUCUGAAUCCUUCCAAUUCACCACUGAACCCACACUCCCUCCGCAGUAG